rnacentral:tRNA from 1 species
GAGGCCUUGGCUUAAUUAGAGUGUCUGAGUUGCAUUCAGGAGAUGUAAGGUAGAGUCUUACAGGUCUUA